UGUUGGAAUGUGACAGAUCAUAUGCACAUUACUAAUACCAGUCCAUGAAUCUGGUAAGAAACGCUGACAUGAUUUCCUAAGCUAAAAGGCAAGGCAAAAGGAACAGCCACAUGAAGAUUACCUCCUUUCACCAGCACCUAUCUCAGCAUUCAGGGCUACUAUUUCUCUAUUAUCUUGCUCACUCAAUCCUUUCUUGCAGCUCAGAAUCUGUCCUUCCCAUUGGCUGCUGACUGAUUUAUGACAUCAUUCUCCCUCUUAGCCUACCAGCACCUAGUAGAAUCCUGGGGUUUCCAUGGUACUGCCUGUAAACAAAUUUGGAUCAUUACAGGUACCCUGUGACCAGUGACCAGUGAGCUCUGUUUGAUACUGGACACACUCGCUGAUUUGGUCAGCAUAUCAGACAAAGACUACCAUUUAUCUGGUUCAAUUGUGGGGUGGAGUACUGUUACUCCCCAUACAGAGCCCCCCCUAAACAUGUCAGAAAGUUCCCAAAGUUCACUUUUCUUUGGGACAGAAAGCACUCUGCACCCUUCUCUGCCUCUGCUGAGCAACUCCAU
rnacentral:lncRNA from 1 species